UCUGUUGUAGUUUAGUUGGUUAGGAUACUCGACUCUCAUUCGAGAGACUCGAGUUCAAGUCUCGGCAACGGAA